ACUCCUACGGGAGGCAGCAGUAGGGAAUCUUCCACAAUGGGCGCAAGCCUGAUGGAGCAACACCGCGUGAGUGAAGAAGGGUUUCGGCUCGUAAAGCUCUGUUGUUAAAGAAGAACACGUAUGAGAGUAACUGUUCAUACGUUGACGGUAUUUAACCAGAAAGUCACGGCUAACUACGUGCCAGCAGCCGCGGUAAUACGUAGGUGGCAAGCGUUAUCCGGAUUUAUUGGGGCGUAAAGAGAGUGCAGGCGGUUUUCUAAGUCUGAUGUGAAAGCCUUCGGCUUAACCGGAGAAGUGCAUCGGAAACUGGAUAACUUGAGUGCAGAAGAGGGUAGUGGAACUCCAUGUGUAGCGGUGGAAGUGCGUAGAUA
rnacentral:rRNA from 1 species